rnacentral:rRNA from 1 species
AUACAGAGGGUGCGAGCGUUAAUCGGAAUUACUGGGCGUAAAGCGCGCGUAGGCGGUCUAUUAAGUCAGAUGUGAAAUCCCAGGGCUCAACCUUGGAACUGCAUCUGAUACUGGUAGACUAGAGUUUUGGAGAGGGAAGUAGAAUUUCAGGUGUAGCGGCGAAAUGCAUAGAGAUCUGAAGGAAUACCAGUGGCGAAGGCGACUUCCUGGCCAAAAACUGACGCUGAGGUGCGAAAGCGUGGGUAGCAAACGGGAUUAGAAACCCUAGUAGUCC